GGUCUCUGUCACAAUUACUAACUCUGCCAAUGUAGCAUAAAAGCAGGCAUAGACAAUGUGUAAAUAAAUGAGCUUGGCUCUGUUCCAAUAAAACUUUGUAAGGAAGGCUGG